rnacentral:tRNA from 1 species
AGUUUUAUAGUCAAAGUAUGAUAUUAAAUUGCAAAUUUAAAGUUGAUUUAUCUAAAGCUU